rnacentral:tRNA from 1 species
GGUUGUAUAGCUCAGUAGUAGAGCUUUUGCCUCACAUGCAUGAGGUCCUGGGUUCAAUCCUCAGCACCACAU